UGCGUGACGCUAGUUUCCGAUUUGUUGUGAUGGAUUGUGUCGCGACAUGUGUUUGUUGUGGCGGGUUGAUCGAAGAAUGAGAUCUAUAAGAUUGAACCGCUGAAGAAAGAUCUGGAGUAUGCUGUCAAGAUUGGCAGGAAAUCAGCGCAAUGCGAGUGGGCACCUCCCCAUUCUGAGUGUGCUGAGUGGCUGGAAAUCCCAGCUGUGACUGCUGCGGGAGCAUGACUGCUGUCGGCUUGAACUGCACACCGUGGAUGCCUGGGGUAGAUUUGGAGCUAUGCCAGUAUUUGGCUGAGGCUUCGAAGUGUUGGGGCCUUGGAAGAUGUGACGCAGCCGUGUGAGGGACGGCCGGCCAUCCUUGAAAUCGACGAGAUCUUUCAGCUGGAUAUAGAAGACGCUAACAUACAUAGUAGGUGAAGGCACGAGAAAUACGCUUCUCCUAUGACAGAGGCGCCUUUUCCCUUUCUGUUUUUCAUUAGCGCUUUCACACGAAAGUGAAAUAGUUUUGUGCUAUUUGUUAAAAAUGGCCAAAAACUGAACGCAAGGUCAUGUAGGUCAUAGUAGUCUUCUAGCCCAGUGAGAGUGCGUGCGAGACUGAGGGCUGUUGCCAAAUCAUAAUCAAGACAGAGCGCGGAGCGACUGUCCGCGUCUAUCGAGUGCGUCUCUUGCAAAUGGGCUAUAGGUCUGUGCAUGUACAUGUGAAGCUGCUCUGCGGUCGGCGCGAUUGGUUAUAAAUAAAUUGACUUGCAUUCAA
rnacentral:lncRNA from 1 species